rnacentral:rRNA from 1 species
UACGGGGGAUGCAAGCGUUAUCCGGAAUCAUUGGGCGUAAAGCGCCUGUAGGUUGUUUAAUAAGUCUGUUGUUAAAGACUAGGGCUCAACCCUAGAAAAGCAAUGGAUACUACUAGACUAGAGUAUGGCAGGGGUAGAGGGAAUUUCUAGUGUAGCGGUGAAAUGCGUAGAUAUUAGAAAGAACACCGGUGGCGAAAGCGCUCUACUGGACCAUUACUGACACUCAGAGGCGAAAGCUAGGGUAGCAAAAGGGAUUAGAUACCCCUGUAGUCCUAGCCGUAAACGAUGGAUACUCGAUGUUGUACUUCCGUACAGUAUCUUAGCUAACGCGUUAAGUAUCCCGCCUGGGGAGUACGCUCGCAAGGGUG